GAGGGUGUAGCUCUGUGGCAGAGCGCUUGCUUAGCAUGCACGAGGUCCUGGGUUCAAUUCCCCAGCACUGCCA
rnacentral:tRNA from 1 species